GGCUUAGUGGUCCAAUGGCAAGGCUCUUGUCGCGGAGCCAGAGGGUCCUGGGUUCGAUCCCCAACAGGGUCG
rnacentral:tRNA from 1 species